rnacentral:lncRNA from 1 species
UUCUUUAAAAAUUUCAAAGGGAAACUCGAACUUGUUAAUUUAUAGUCCGUUUUGCUUUGAUUUUAAAUGCUCUGCAUCAAUCUUUGGACGAUUUUAAAUUGUUCUGACGUCUCAUUGUUUGGUUACCUUUUGCUUGGCUUAAUUCAUUGUGGGGGGUUUUCAUUUAAUCUUUGGUAUUAGUUAUAUCUAUUCCAGAAGUUGAACACACUUCAUCCGUUUGGUAAUUUGUUAUUUUCAUUUAAUCUUAGGUAUUAGUUGUAUCUAUUUCAGAAGUUGAACACACUUCAUCCGUUUGGUAAUUUGUUUUGAACUAAAUUCAUCAUGAGCAUUUGAAUUGUGUGUUGUAUAUUGGCGUGAUUUUGAGGAAAUUACUUAAGAAAU